GAGUUUGAUCCUGGCUCAGAUUGAACGCUGGCGGAAUGCUUUACACAUGCAAGUCGAGCGGCAGCGCGGGGCAACCUGGCGGCGAGCGGCGAACGGGUGAGUAAUGCAUCGGAACAUGUCCAUGUCGUGGGGGAUAGCCCGGCGAAAGCCGGAUUAAUACCGCAUACGCCCGAGAGGGGAAAGUGGGGGACCGCAAGGCCUCACGCGAUUGGGUUGGCCGAUGUCCGAUUAGCUAGUUGGCGGGGUAAAGGCCCACCAAGGCGAUGAUCGGUAGCUGGUCUGAGAGGAUGAUCAGCCACACUGGGACUGAGACACGGCCCAGACUCCUACGGGAGGCAGCAGUGGGGAAUUUUGGACAAUGGGGGCAACCCUGAUCCAGCCAUUCCGCGUGAGUGAAGAAGGCCUUCGGUUGUAAG
rnacentral:rRNA from 1 species